UACGGAGGGUGCGAGCGUUGUCCGGAAUCACUGGGCGUAAAGGGCGCGUAGGCGGCGCGGAUAGUCGGCGGUGAAAGCCCGGAGCUCAACUCCGGGUCGGCCGUCGAUACUUCCGGGCUUGAGCACUGUAGAGGCAGAUGGAAUUCCGGGUGUAGCGGUGGAAUGCGUAGAGAUCCGGAAGAACACCGGUGGCGAAGGCGGUCUGCUGGGCAGUUGGCUGACGCUGAUGCGCGACAGCGUGGGGAGCAAACG
rnacentral:rRNA from 1 species